rnacentral:rRNA from 1 species
UACGUAGGGUGCAAGCGUUGUCCGGAAUUAUUGGGCGUAAAGAGCUCGUAGGCGGUCUGUCGCGUCGGAUGUGAAAAUCCAGGGCUCAACCCUGGACCUGCAUUCGAUACGGGCAGACUAGAGUUCGGUAGGGGAGACUGGAAUUCCUGGUGUAGCGGUGAAAUGCGCAGAUAUCAGGAGGAACACCGGUGGCGAAGGCGGGUCUCUGGGCCGAUACUGACGCUGAGGAGCGAAAGUGUGGGGAGCGAACAGG